rnacentral:snRNA from 1 species
ACAUCUACUAAUAAAAGUCAACCUGUUCUUAUCAGCUGUAAUAUCUGAUACAUCCUCCAUUGGAGGCUGUGUAUUGAGCACAUUUUUGGUCCCGGGAGGUGGAACAGGAGCUUGCUCCGUCCCCUCCGUGCAUCGGCCUGGUAUUGCAGUGCUUCCAGGAGCGGUGCACCCCUC